CCUACGGGAGGCAGCAGUGAGGAAUAUUGGUCAAUGGCCGUAAGGCUGAACCAGCCAAGCAGCGUGAAGGACGAAGGUGCCAAGCAUUGUAAACUGCUUUUAUGAGGGGACAAAAUCAGGCACGAGAGCUGUACCGUAGGUACUGGAAGAAAAAGCACCGGCUAAUUCCGUGCCAGCAGCCGCGGUAAUACGGAGGGUACGCGCGUUAUCCGGAUUUAUUGGGUUUAAAGGGUGCGUAGGCGGGAUGUUAAGUGUGCGGUGAAACACCGUGGCUCAACCCUGGCGCGGCGGUGAGAAAGGGGUUGUCUGGGGAUGUCGAGAGGUAUGCGGAAUGCGCGGUGUAGCGGGGAAAUGCUUAGAUAUAGCGCAGAACUCCGAUGGCGAAGGCAGCAUAGCGGGGGCGAUCUGACGCUGAGGCACGAGAGCGUGGGUAUCGAACAGGAUUAGAUACCGUAUAGUC
rnacentral:rRNA from 1 species